CAGCCGCCGCGGUAAUACGUAGGGUGCGAGCGUUGUCCGGAAUUACUGGGCGUAAAGAGCUCGUAGGCGGUUUGUCGCGUCGUCUGUGAAAUUCUGCAGCUUAACUGCAGGCGUGCAGGCGAUACGGGCAGACUUGAGUACUACAGGGGAGACUGGAAUUCCUGGUGUAGCGGUGAAAUGCGCAGAUAUCAGGAGGAACACCGGUGGCGAAGGCGGGUCUCUGGGUAGUAACUGACGCUGAGGAGCGAAAGCGUGGGUAGCGAACAGGAUUAGAUACCCGCGUAGUCCCUGUCUCUUAUAC
rnacentral:rRNA from 1 species